UACGUAGGUGGCAAGCGUUGUCCGGAUUUACUGGGCGUAAAGCGUGCGCAGGCGGUUAUGUAAGACAGAUGUGAAAUGCCCGGGCUUAACCUGGGAACUGCAUUUGUGACUGCAUGGCUAGAGUUUGGCAGAGGGGGGGUAGAAUUCCACGUGUAGCAGUGAAAUGCGUAGAUAUGUGGAGGAACACCGAUGGCGAAGGCAGCCCCCUGGGUCGAAGACUGACGCUCAUGCAC
rnacentral:rRNA from 1 species